AUGUCGACGUACGGAUUCGUAAAAGGUUUCACAAGUACAAGAAGGAACCGUGAGAGUUUAUUUACACGGCAUGCAGCAACUUCCGCACCGGACCCCUACGUGCGUGGCCAGCAAGUCAAACACAUGUUCUAUGAUAUAAUAGGUACAGACACGCAUACCUUUCGAUAAGGACCGAUCGCGUCAUCAUCAGCACAUUCAUGGUUUGGCAGAGCCUCUUAAUCCACAGAGGACGCUUCUUUGUAUCGAAGGAUUUCAACGCCCAAGUAGUCGAUGGUGCCACGAACGGCCACAUGAGGCUUCUCCACCUUCACUCUCACAGCAGAUAUCUGAGGCAAUUGAAGUAGCGUGGUAUUUGCAAUCAAGUGAGCUACCGACUCCAACAGAUUCUGAGACGUACCCUCUACCACUUCCUUCACUAUCCUGCACAUCCACCACCAACUCCACAAGUUAAUGUUGUAAUGUAAUCCACAUAUGAUGACAUGCAAUCCAAGUGCUUGUUAGUUUUGCCAAACAAGAAGAAAAACUUUUUUGAUUCACUUGAAAACUCAAGUGAAGAUUUCACGGAAAAGUAGUGACAGCAGUGAUCUAUCAUAUCAUGCUCUCAAAAGCAAAUUUCCUGACCAGACUCUACACUACCAUCUAUUAACCACACACACACACACACACACACUAGUACGCUGAGAAGAAGAUAAUUGCUAUCACCAAGAGAGUUUCCAAAAUACAUCAGUAGAUAUGAAGGAUCCAUAAGCCAAAUUAACAAAGUAUCCUAAGCACGACAAGUUAUAUGCAUCCAGUUCACGAAUUUCUGAUGCACAAGUCAGCUUUCUGAACUGGAACCAUUUGGCUCCAUUCCGCUAGCUACUUACAUUCCACCAAAUACAGCGACCUUUCGAAAGGUUCACUCCUACGAAACCCAUAAACCAAUACUAUUUUUAUAUGAACAAUUGGAACAUGCCACUGAUAAGCUGAUGCAUACAUUGUCCUGCAGGAUUAUUAUAAGCGCAUUUGACUAUAUUGUUGUGCACCACCCAAAAGUGAGUUCUUUGUGUUUUAUGGGUUCCUGAAGUUUUGAACCUUGCGAAUAAACCGUCCCCAGGCCUUAAGCUCACAUUUUGCAUCUUUGUCGACUCUCUUCAAGUUUAUCAAACCAAGUAGGAAGUUUGUGCACACCAUUAUGUACAGGAAGAAUCAUCGUCCUUGAUGUGCAAGAUAGUAAAGGCCACUGAGUGGUCUUGGCACACAUCCGGGAGAGGUCGGCAUGGCAUGUCACCCAUUUUGUAUGGUGAUAUGAUUCAACCUGUGUGCACACAUGACUGUUGGCGCCACUAACCUAAUUAUAUAUUGUACCAGAAAGAUAAUACCAAAGCUAGAAGUGAGGAUUGUGCAAAUGCAUGAAGGAUAACAUAUUGUCAAAAUGUUUCCUAGAUUCUCCAUUUGCUCCAAUGAUACUGUAACAAUAGCACGAAAUAUAAACCAUCAUUCCACUCUGCAACAACCCUGCUCCUUGCAUCCAUUCUCAUUCUCUCGAAUAGUGAACAUCAGUAAAAUAUGUUAUAAAGAAAUUCUCUUUCUCUCAAUUUCCAAUAUUCCAUGGAGGCAGGUCACCUCCUGAUGCUUAAGACAUUCUCAUCACAGUGUGUGCUAUAUUAAGAGUUCUCAUUUCAAGUACUAAAUUACAUAUGGUCUUCCCUCCAUUCGCAAAAGUUCACAUAAUGCCUCAACUGUGAGCUCAUUUUUGCUGUCUAUCUUGAUAAAAUUAUCAAAGGUAGUAUUUCAUUCCAGAAAACUACUUGCACGUUCAAAGGCUCACAUUAGUCUAUGAAUAUUACCAUGGCUAAGUCAGGAUGAAAACUAGUGAAUUGGGUGUUCUUUAAUAAGAUGUAUGACCAAAAGAGUUGAUGAAAAAUUUAGCAGCCAGUCUUUUUAAAAUAACUUUACCAAAAAAUAUAAUGAACCUAUCUUUUGCUUAGAAGAAAAAUCAUCUCUAAACUUUAUGUAUGGUUGUGGCCUCAGGUCAUCCCAUCAUUAGGGCCUUAAACUUAGAGACGAAAUAGUCAAGUCAGUCACGGGCCAUUUCUGCAAACAAGCUGGUUAACAUUGAAAAAAAAAGAAAAAAAGAAAUGGUUGAUCGAGCAUGAAAUCUAACCCCACCCACCACUAAAACAGAGAUGCAGACUACUAGGUACCAAGACAAACAACUCUGCCGGUGGCCAUAGCAGAUACAUCUUAGAGGAAAUAUAUCAACUUUUUAUAACUGCUAUAAGUUUUAUUAAAACAGACAUAAUGUAUAACCACUGCAUUGUCAAAAAGGAAGAGGGAAAAGAAAAAGGAACAGUUACCGAUAAAUAGCAGUAUAGCUGACUGUGUCAGAAAUGUCAUCAGAUUUACCAGCAUUGCUCAAGUCCAUCCAAGCAUCCACAUCGAUCACAAACUUUUGACCAAGCUUCUUUUCCUCCAGUUUCACACCAUGAAAUCCAUGAAACUGCAAGCCCCUUAGUAUCAGCUUGUCUUUAUCAACAAAAUCACGGUCACCCAUGGAUGAUGAACCUGAUGAAGUAUAUAAGGUUUCAAUUUUCAGAAUAUGCAACAACAAAAGAAGAUACCUCGAUGUAUUGGCUCCAACAUAUCACUUAAAAAGUAACAUUUAAGUUGGUUUCUAUAAAAAAAAAUUUGCAUUGAUGAAAGGCAAAGAAAUUAAAUAGUAUAAAUGAAAUGCAGCUUGACAUAGAUACCUGCAUCUGCAGAUAUAAGGUUCAAUUAUAUAUCACUACACGGAGGCUUUAAACUUGCAGUUCAAGAAGGAUGCAGGAUAAAGACGAGAUAAACAGAGCUCAAAUAGCCAACAAGCACAAUGCGAGACUUACUGUUCGGUUCUUUAUAUCGGAUUCAAAUGAUAGCAGCUUCCCCAGUUUCAUGAAUGUGCAAGUACACUAAAUAAACAGUACUGACAACCAUAUCUGAAUACCAACCUUUCCUACAUCUUGGUUGCUCCCGACAGCACGUAAAUGGCUAACCUUUUUUCUUUUCGAACGAGAGACAAUAUGGUGACCGGAGCCCGAAAAGACCGACUUAAAUCAACCAAAUCCGAGGAAGACUUUUUUUGCAAAAUUGGAGCUGAAGAUAUCAACGACAAAAAAAAAAACCCAAGAAUGCAAUUUUAAAAACCAGCCGCAGGUUUUCGAGUUUAAACAGCUCGAUGGAACCCAAUACCCUAUCGUGAAGAUCUAUGGACCGAUAUUCUUCACCGGUUUCUAUGACCAAAUCAGGACGGCCCUUCAUUCGAUUGCAAUCCGUAUAUCGUUGCAAAAGAAAACUCAAAAUAACUUGCGAGGAGGCAGAGAUCGAUUACCUUCGCGCAAGACUCCGUCUCCACCAUUCUCUCCCACCCGAUUCCUCGAAGAUGAUAAGGGGGCAGACUCGGGGGCGGGCGCGUGUCCGUUGGUGCCGCUGAGGGGCAAGUCGUCGUCGAGAAGUCCUAAGGAUCAAAUCAGAUCAACCACGGACAGCCACGAGUUGAGGAUGCAAGAGAACGCACGGAAAACCCCGAAGCGCCGGACUUUUGUCUCGCAUAACCUAUUCGAGUCGAGCAUGAAAAAUGAAGUUUUGGCGUUCAAUGCGACCUGUAAGUGGGGCAGAACGUUGGUGCCUGAUUGUAGCCGCGGUGUUGCGGGCCGAUCAGCAAACAGCUUCGUAUCGCAUCAGAACGGCGACGCCCUACCACAGCGCUGACGUCAGUAGCCUGGCCCCAGGGCACCACGAUGACGGGACGGUGUUUCGUGGCUCGGUGAGCACUGCUGCUCACCGGAGGAGACCGAAAGGUAAUUACGGUGCAUUAAAGGCGCCAACAACCGGCGUAAAUACAGAUAACCUUUUUCUUUUUCUCUUUCCUUUCAUUUUCUUAGAUAUUUAUAUAAAAUUAGCUGGAAUUAGCUGGCAGAUGGAGUAAUGGGCAUGAUGAAUGAAUGAUUCGCCAGUGUAAAGUGCGAACGACAAGAGGAUUUGGAAGGAGCGGAAUUAAUGGAUGGAUAUACUGACGAUGGAGAGUGAAUGAGCGAGCGGUGACGUGGUUUUCUGGACGGUGAUAAACCACACCACAAUAUCAUAUAUAGCUUCGAGGGGGUAAGCUGAAUCUGAUCUCCGGUAGUUGGAAAUAAGAAAAGCAACCCUCUUUUAAGAACAUCACAUCACAUUACAGCAAAGGAGACGAAUCCAAGAAAGCACAGCGUCACAAUUAAUUCUUCCUUGAACUCUUCCCUCUCAACGACUACUAUGCUUCCCCCUUGGCCUUCGUCGUAUGUUAUAUAAGAACCCAACUAAACCCAUCAGAGUAACGAGGGGGUGGUGGGUCAAUGGGGUCAACAUAUGUCGACCUACGGAGUCACAAAAGGUUUCACAAGUAAAGGAAGAAGGGAACGAUUGUCACAAAAGGUUUCACAAGGUUUCACAAGUAAAGGUUUCACAAGUAAUGGAAGAGGGGGUGAGAGUUCAUUUACUCGGCAUGCAGCAACUUCCGCACAGGAUCGAGGAGAGGAGGGGCUUCAAGAACGCAGGAUUGUAAGUUUUUCUUUUACCCAUUUCUUAUCUUUUCUUUUCUUUUACCUCCUCCUAAUGUGUAACAAGAAAUAGCUUCGCAUCCAAAGAAAUAGGUGAUGGCAUACCCUCAUAAUAGCGAGCCAAAAAAAAAAUAAACCCAAGAAAAUAUAAUCGGCAAGAAAACACACUCGAAAGCACCACAAAAUUUCACGGAUGACCGAUCGCAUGUAGUUGGAAACAAGAAAAGCCACCCUCUUUUCAGAACACCGCAUCACAUCACCCUCUUUUCAUAACACCGAUCAAAAUUCCAACAACUUUCUUGGGUUUAUUUACUCGGCAUGCAGCAACUUCCGCACAGGACUGUGGGCUGAGUGCACCCACGGCAUGCAGCAACUCUUCUCCCCCUCUCCUCGGUCCUGUGCGGAAGUUGCUGCAUGCCAAGCAUAGUCAGCUCACCCUCUCCUUUGCUGUAAUGUGAUGCGGUGUUCUGAAAAGAAUGAGACUUUUCUUAUUUCCAACUACAUGCGAUCAUACCUCCGUGAAUUUUGUGGUGCUUUUGAGAGUGUUUUCUUGCCAAUUGCAUUUUCUUGGGUUUUUUUUUUUUUUUGGCUCACUACUAUGAGGGUAUGUCAUUUUUUGAUGUGAAGCUAUUUCUUGUUACACAAUAGGAGGAGGUAAAAGAAAAGAAAAGAAAAGAAAAGAAAUGNNNNNNNNNNNNNNNNNNNNACCCUCCCCUCUCCUCGGUACUGUGCGGAAGUUACUGCAUGUCGAGUAAAUGAACUCUCUCCUUUGCUCACCCUCCUCUACUCGGUCCUAUUGUUGCUGCAUGCCAAGUAAAUGAACUCUCCUCUCCUCGGUCUUGACCGUAGAAGUUGCUGCAUGCAAAGUAAAUGAACUCUCUUCUUUGCUCACCCUCCUCUACUCGGUCCUAUUGUUACUGCAUGCUUUCUUGAAUUCUUUUCCUUUGUUGUAAUGUGAUGCGGUGUUCUGAAAAUAGGGUGGCUUUGCUUGUUUCCAACUAUCGGAGAUCAGAUUCAGCUCACCCUCUCAAAGCUAUGAUAUACUCGGUAUGCAACAACUUCCGCACAGGACCGAGGAGAGGAGGGGCUUCAAGAAAGCACGAUGGUGAGUUUUUCUUUUACCCAUUUCUUAUCUUUUCUUUUCUUUUACCUCCUCCUAACGUGUAACAAGAAAUAGCUUCACAUCUAAAGAAAGAGGUGAUAACAUACCCUCAUAGUAGCGAGUCAAAAAAAAAAUAAACCCCAGAAAGUGCAAUCGGCAAAAAAACACACUCAAAAGCACCAUAAAAUUCCACGGAGGACCGAUCACAUGUUCGAUGAUAUAAAUAGAUAAAUACAUACCUUGUUCCAAAGUCUUCCUUCGAUUGGGAGAGGAAGCGGCUCCCUCCCUCGUUUGGCCGACGACAAUGCCUACAACCCACAGGCAGGGGGGGAGAGAGAGAGAGAGACCUGUUGAUUUAAUGUCACCCGUGUCAAAAGAGUAACGCCAUCCCCACCCACCACAACGUAUAACGAUGAGGGCUCCAUCAGAACCCCGCAUAUCGCACGCAGUUACUCAGCCACCGCACAUUCGUCGGGCGCAAACCGCAUCGAGCAGGCCGAAGUGGAUCCCACGUCGCCAUUUACCAAGCGGGUACGAAACCGGGUGAAGUGGUCCUUUGUUUCUUAUUUAUUAGCCGAUCGAUCAACAAGAAGGAUCAAUCGAUCGAUCGAUCGGCUGGGAUUCACGACGGUUCAGCAACACGACUUUUAAAGACACCCUGCCCACUACGUGCGUGGCCAGCAAGUCAAAACACAUGUUCGAUGAUAUAAUAGAUAGAUAGAUAGAUACAUACAUACCUUUCGAUAAGGACCGAUCGCAUCAUCAUCAACACAUCCAUGGUUUGGCAGAGCCUCUUAAUCCACAGAGGACGCUUUUUUGUAUCUGAGGAUUUCAACGCCCAAGUAGUCGAUGGUGCCACGAACGG
rnacentral:lncRNA from 1 species